CCUCUUUUCUCAAGGAAGAAGACAUGACGGUACUUGAGGAAUAAGCCACGGCUAAUUCCGUGCCAGCAGCCGCGGUAAUACGGGAGUGGCAAGCGUUAUCCGGAAUUAUUGGGCGUAAAGCGUCCGCAGGCGGCCUUGUAAGUCUGUCGUUAAAGCGUGGAGCUUAACUCCAUUUCAGCGAUGGAAACUACAAGGCUUGAGUGUGGUAGGGGCAGAGGGAAUUCCCGGUGUAGCGGUGAAAUGCGUAAAUAUCGGGAAGAACACCAGUGGCGAAGGCGCUCUGCUGGGCCAUAACUGACGCUCAUGGACGAAAGCCAGGGGAGCGAAAGGGAUUAGAUACCCCUGUAGUCCUGGCCGUAAACGAUGAACACUAGGUGUCGGGGGAAUCGACCCCCUCGGUGUCGUAGCUAACGCGUUAAGUGUUCCGCCUGGGGAGUACGCACGCAAGUGUGAAACUCAAAGGAAUUGACGGGGGCCCGCACAAGCGGUGGAGUAUGUGGUUUAAUUCGAUGCAACGCGAAAAACCUUACCAGGGUUUGACAUCCUGCGAAUCCCUUGGAAACGAGGGAGUGCCUUCGGGAGCGCAGAGACAGGUGGUGCAUGGCUGUCGUCAGCUCGUGUCGUGAGAUGUUGGGUUAAGUCCCGCAACGAGCGCAACCCACGUCUUUAGUUGCCAGCAUUCAGUUGGGCACUCUAGAGAGACCGCCGGUGAUAAACCGGAGGAAGGUGUGGAUGACGUCAAGUCAUCAUGCCCCUUACAUCCUGGGCUACACACGUACUACAAUGCUACGGACAAAGGGUUGCAAGCUCGCGAGAGUUAGCUAAUCCCAUAAACCGUGGCUCAGUUCAGAUCGUAGGCUGCAACUCGCCUACGUGAAGGAGGAAUCGCUAGUAAUCGCAGGUCAGCAUACUGCGGUGAAUACGUUCCCGGGCCUUGUACACACCGCCCGUCACACCAUGGAAGUUGGCCAUGCCCGAAGUCGUUACUCCAACCCUUGUGGAGGAGGACGCCGAAGGUGGGGCUGAUGACUGGGGUGAAGUCGUAACAAGGUAGCCGUACCGGAAGGUGCGGCUGGAUCACCUCCU
rnacentral:rRNA from 1 species